GAACGCUGGCGGCGUGCCUAAUACAUGCAAGUCGAGCGACCAGACGAGGAGCUUGCUCCUCUGACGUUAGCGGCGGACGGGUGAGUAACACGUGGAUAACCUACCUAUAAGACUGGGAUAACUUCGGGAAACCGGAGCUAAUACCGGAUAAUAUAUUGAACCGCAUGGUUCAAUAGUGAAAGACGGUUUUGCUGUCACUUAUAGAUGGAUCCGCGCCGCAUUAGCUAGUUGGUAAGGUAACGGCUUACCAAGGCAACGAUGCGUAGCCGACCUGAGAGGGUGAUCGGCCACACUGGAACUGAGACACGGUCCAGACUCCUACGGGAGGCAGCAGUAGGGAAUCUUCCGCAAUGGGCGAAAGCCUGACGGAGCAACGCCGCGUGAGUGAUGAAGGUCUUCGGAUCGUAAAACUCUGUUAUUAGGGAAGAACAAAUGUGUAAGUAACUAUGCACGUCUUGACGGUACCUAAUCAGAAAGCCACGGCUAACUACGUG
rnacentral:rRNA from 1 species